UGGGGAAUUUUGGACAAUGGGCGAAAGCCUGAUCCAGCAAUGCCGCGUGUGUGAAGAAGGCCUUCGGGUUGUAAAGCACUUUUGUCCGGAAAGAAAUCCUUGGCUCUAAUACAGUCGGGGGAUGACGGUACCGGAAGAAUAAGCACCGGCUAACUACGUGCCAGCAGCCGCGGUAAUACGUAGGGUGCAAGCGUUAAUCGGAAUUACUGGGCGUAAAGCGUGCGCAGGCGGUUUGCUAAGACCGAUGUGAAAUCCCCGGGCUCAACCUGGGAACUGCAUUGGUGACUGGCAGGCUAGAGUAUGGCAGAGGGGGGUAGAAUUCCACGUGUAGCAGUGAAAUGCGUAGAGAUGUGGAGGAAUACCGAUGGCGAAGGCAGCCCCCUGGGCCAAUACUGACGCUCAUGCACGAAAGCGUGGGGAGCAAACAGGAUUAGAUACCCUGGUAGUCCACGCCCUAAACGAUGUCAACUAGUUGUUGGGGAUUCAUUUCCUUAGUAACGUAGCUAACGCGUGAAGUUGACCGCCUGGGGGAGUACGGUCGCAAGAUUAAAACUCAAAUGAAUUG
rnacentral:rRNA from 1 species